UGGCCUCUCGCGCUUUCCCCCAGUUCUCCCUUAAAAAUACUUGGGGGAAGAAAGUGCUUGACUACUCACAGUCCUGUGAUGACCUGUGGCGGAAGGUAAACCGAAGGUGACUGCGGUUAACGUCCUCGAUGGGAAUGGCCACCUUCAAGAAUUGAAAAAGAAGUUUAAGCACUGUUAUCAAUAUCAUCCAGCGUAACAGCUUUAUUCAACUGGAGCUAUCAGGGUCACCUACCAGGAGCUGAGCCCUUUCCUUGCCAGAGCUCAUACAUGAUGCUGCCCACACGUCAUCCUCCGUGGCCGGCUACCCCCAUGCCAUGCUGAGAAGCCCUGAACAAGCCAGUUCUUACCAGGCAUGAUUAUCUCCGGAAACCCUGUUUUUCGAGCCACAGCUGUGGUCCUGUCCACUAAAUGCGGAAACUCUUUUCGGAUCUGAUGGAUAUCUCCAGGAAGUAAUUUCAAUGUUACCCACAAACCUGGAAAAACAAUGGAUGCUCUUAAGUCGCAUUUUAUCCUAUGCAUUUUUAGAAGUUUUCACGAAACCAAUUUCAAUGAAUGAGAGACUUUUAAUUCACAAUUCAACAUCUUGAGAGAAAAGAGAAAUAUGCAACUGCGAAGUUCUCACGGGAGAAGUCCUGAGCACACUGCAAGGCAUCCUGGGACCACAGUCUCAAGGGUCACAGAGGAAGGGACUUCGGGGCUGAGACCUGCAGGAAGUGAGGGAACUGCAGGCCUGUCCUCACCCAGGGGAGGUGGAGCCCCCAGACGCUGUGAUAUGAAAUUCCAGAUCAUGGGAGGGAGAGUUUGAAGAAGGAAGAACCACCAAUAGAAAGCGGUCCCCAAAGAGGUAUCGGGGAUGGCACCCAGACAGGAGCACAUGUACCACUGCCCAGAAUGUGCAUUUCACUAGACAAGUGACCACAAAAGUUUUCACUGUGACUUGAAAAUGCCCACUCCUCCCAGAAGUUCAAGGAACUGGACCCCCGGACAUGAGCCCAAGGUUCGCCGGCUUCAAAGAUCCUGGCCACACACCAGUGAGCCUGGCAGAGGCAGGCUUCUGGUCCUCUUUCCCAGUGAUUUCCUGCUGGCCUGACACCAAACUCCACUUUCCCUGAAUGACUCUAAUAAAAGUUUAUCAAAACUCCGA
rnacentral:lncRNA from 1 species